ACUCCUACGGGAGGCAGCAGUGGGGAAUAUUGCACAAUGGGCGCAAGCCUGAUGCAGCCAUGCCGCGUGUAUGAAGAAGGCCUUCGGGUUGUAAAGUACUUUCUAGCAGUGAGGAAGGUGGAUAUGUUAAUAGCAUAUUCUAUUUGUACGUUAGCUGCAGAAGAAGCACCGGCUAACUCCGUGCCAGCAGCCGCGGUAAUACGGAGGGUGCGAGCGUUAAUCGGAAUUACUGGGCGUAAAGCGCAUGCAGGUGGUUUGUUAAGUCAGAUGUGAAAGCCCGGGGCUCAACCUCGGAAUUGCAUUUGAAACUGGCAAACUAGAGUACUGUAGAGGGGGUAGAAUUUCAGGUGUAG
rnacentral:rRNA from 1 species